rnacentral:misc_RNA from 1 species
GAAGUUGCAGGAUUUUUAAAUAGAUAUAUAACUCAAACUCCUAUUUCUCGGCCCGGAGAGCCGUAUGAGAUUUCAUCAAUGGUGGCAUUCCUAUGCUUCCCUACUGCUUCAUUUAUCACCGGCCAGAUUAUUGUUGUUGAUGGAGGAUUCACCAUCAAUGGUUUCUGCCUCCCAAACAAUAGCUAAACCUGUAAUUUCUUUUCUAGUCAACAAUUACAAACAUAAAUAAGGUUUCAUCAGGUCCAGAUAUCGGACUAAAGAAAAUCCAAGAUUUUCCUGUUUCUGUUGUUAACUUCAUUGUUGUAAUACCCAAAAAUCCAUGAUGGAUGUUACAUUUGUGAACCCAAAUAAAAAAAAUUCUGUACCAAUGAAAUUUUCUGUUUGGUUUCCAGCAUGUUGAGUAGAAAAUGUUUAGAACCUG